rnacentral:lncRNA from 1 species
CUCUCCUCCCUCCAGAGGGCAGCCCUGGUCCUCAGCUGUGCUUCCUGCACCAGGGUCCCUAGAGCCUUAUCAAGCCCUACAGAGGCAGUAAGUUCCAUGGGAACCAGGAUUUUGGAAGUAGAUCACCUGAGUUGGGCUCCUCCGCUUUGCCUUUUAUUAGUGGAUGUCCUAAAACACUGUCCUCAGGGUCCUCAUCUGAGAGAUGUGAUAUUCCUACCUACAUCUUCUGGUGGGGUGAGGAUGAAAGAUGAUAUUUUCAGUGUUCACUCCAUAGUAGACACACCGUUCCCUCAGGCCUUACUUCUUUCUCUCCCCAUUUACAUUGCCUUUCCCCCCUCUAUUCUCAUUUUAUCCCGUCUGGGUCCAUCACUGUUCAACUGUCCUACAGCUCCUCCUCCUUCCUGACUCCAGUUGGAGAAAGUGCUUCAAGCACUGGCAUCUCAUGCUGGAGGCUAUAGGAUGGGGCAUGCUGCCCCUCCACUAAGUGGCCAAGGAUAGCUGGCACUCUGGUGUGAACCAGGCCUCAUACCUCUUGGCUGAGGGAGUGGAGUAGCAGGGAGGAUGGAGAACUGUGGAGACUGGGUAUGCCUGGGCUGGGGGUGAAGGCAGGCUCCUGGCUGCUGCCCUCCAAGCCCAUGUGGGUUUCCAUUUCCUUUGUCCACAGCCCCUUCCAAGGCUACCUCAGCAUGCCAGGCCACUGUCACUCCUGCACUUCAUUGCUCCCUUCCUGUCUUAGUCCCUCUUGAUCAGUUUUGCUUUUUGGGGCUACCACCUCCUGCUUCCUCCCUCUGGAUCCCCACCUUUUGUUCUCUGUGGUCCCUGACUCCCUGACACCAUUGUCCCUCCCUUCCUCUUUUCUCUGCUUCUUUCUUGCCUGCCUUUUUUUUUUUGGCCCUCCACCGCAGCACAAAUUAUCACAUCUUUUGACCCUUUAUUCCUGUUUUGGUUUUUGUUUUGCAUUUUGUUUUUCCCCUUCUCUCCCUCUGCUUCACUGUCUUUCUUCCUCUUAUUUUUUCUUGGUCUUCUGGUCUCCUGCUGCUGACCCCGUGCAUGCCUCCUCCCUUUUUCAUGCCACCCCCCCAUUUCCCUUUCCACUCCUUUGUCCACAUUCCUUGCCCCUUUCCAUUACUUCCUCUCUUCUCCCCCGCUGCAGUCUUCUCCUCCCCCCUUCUCUCUUCACUUUCCCGCUCCAGUCCUCUGUCCUCUUCCCAGCUGUGGGGGCCAGGACUGGGGAGCCUAAUGUUUGCCUCAUCGUUCUGCUAUGGCUUCUCGAUACAGCACAUCUGGAUUCCGGGGCCCAGAUGUGUGGUUGCCACAGCGACCUCAGUCCCUCUGGUAAAUACAGGCGCCCACCCGCCCCAGAGCAGAGAACAAAACAAUUGUGUGACUUUCUUUUGUCACGGGAUAGAAAUGUCUUCCCUCCUCCCUUCUCCCCACACCCAUGUCUCUGGGCAAAGGAAGUUUUAAGGGUCCAGACCCUUCUUUCCAUGACUCUCUAGCCCCUGUUCAUCCUUGGCCUCUUAGUUCUCUCCCAUCUCAGGCUGUUUUCUAUAUUCCCAUCCUCAUCUCCCAGCCUUCAAUUCCCUGUAAUAAAU